rnacentral:miRNA from 1 species
UUGACAGCUUUCAAAGGGUUU